rnacentral:tRNA from 1 species
CGAAGUGUAGCUUAAAAAUGAAUAGCAUCUCCCUUACACUGAGAAGGCUUCCGUGCAAACCGGGACACCUCGAC